UGGAGAUGGCACUCGAUGGACAGAUGGUCCUUUGUGACUCCUGACACCUGCCAGCUGCUGCUCUGCUCCUCCUUACCUCUUUUCUUUCCUUCUGCCUCUCAUCUCACCUCACUUCUUUGCUUUUUCUCCUCCUCUGUUCUCUCCAGCGCUCCUCUCUUUAUCUCCUUUUUGUUCUCUUAUUGUAGCUCCCCCUUUUCAGCGCGACAACGUUCAGAGGACAAUGCCAGUGGAGUACGAGGAAGGAGGUGUGCUGUAUUGAUAGGGGUGUCUGAUUCCAAGCCUCGAGGGCCGGUCUCCAGCUGGUUUUCCAAAAAUCCUGCCUUAACUGCUGUUGAUGACCUGGAUCAGGAAGAAAAGCCAGACCCUGUGGGAAAUAAUAAGAUGUACAACAAAUAACAGGUGGGAAACAAAAAAAGCACAUCAAUCAGUCUGGAAAGCCUCUACUUUAAAGCCUUGGGAGUCUGGUGAACCAAGGAGGGGGCCAUCGAAAUCAAAUGGAAAAAUCUGGGAA